AGGAGUUUAGGUUACACUCAGACCAAGAGCCUUCAAAGCCCUAAGCAAGUAUUAUCCACUUAACUCCUG